rnacentral:rRNA from 1 species
UAGGGAAUCUUCGGCAAUGGACGAAAGUCUGACCGAGCAACGCCGCGUGAGUGAAGAAGGUUUUCGGAUCGUAAAACUCUGUUGGUAGAGAAGAACGUUGGUGAGAGUGGAAAGCUCAUCAAGUGACGGUAACUACCCAGAAAGGGACGGCUAACUACGUGCCAGCAGCCGCGGUAAUACGUAGGUCCCGAGCGUUGUCCGGAUUUAUUGGGCGUAAAGCGAGCGCAGGUGGUUUAUUAAGUCUGGUGUAAAAGGCAGUGGCUCAACCAUUGUAUGCAUUGGAAACUUGUAGACUUGAGUGCAGGAGAGUAGAGUGGAAUUCCAUGUGUAGCGGUGAAAUGCGUAGAUAUAUGGAGGAACACCGGUGGCGAAAGCGGCUCUCUGGCCUGUAACUGACACUGAGGCUCGAAAGCGUGGGGAGCAAACA